rnacentral:rRNA from 1 species
AGUAGCUGCGAGCGAAAAGGGAAGAGCCCAGCACCGAAUCCCGCAGGCAACGCCUGUAGGGAAAUGUGGUGUUAGGGAGGACCCGUUUCUCCCGGCGCGUCGAGGCGAGCCCAAGUCCUUCUUGAAUGGGGCCACAGUCCAGAGAGGGUGCCAGGCCCGUGUGGCCGCCUCGUCGCCCGGGAGGGUCUCUCCUCAGAGUCGGGUUGCUUGAGACCGCAGCCCUAAGUGGGUGGUAAACUCCAUCUAAGGCUAAAUACGACCACGAGACCGAUAGCGAACAAGUACCGUGAGGGAAAGUUGAAAAGAACUUUGAAGAGAGAGUUCAACAGUACGUGAAACCGUUCAGGGGUAAACGGGAGACGUCCUGAAUUCGAAAGGGAUGGAUUCAAGCAGCUCGGGGGUCCCGGUUGUACAGGCUCCCCGCACCAGAUGGUGCCUGGCGCCCGCGUGGUGGUUAACCCCGCCCGCGGUGUCGCUCGGCUGCCACUCGGUGUGACGAGGAUGCUCUUGCUCUCGGCUGGUGCACUUCCUCCCUAGUAGAAACGUUGCGACCCGUUGGGCGUCGGCCUCAGGGCCCGGGAAGGCAGCCCGCCCGCUCGCGGUGGUCGAGCAAGGCGGACUCCCGGAGACCCGGCCGUGCGCCCGACGGUAUGUCCAGAGGAAGCGACCCGCAGUGAAAGCGUUGAACAGUGCGUCCAGGCCGGCGCCCAGUGCGUGCAGUUAGGGUCUGUGUCUUAUACGCGCCUCUCUCGUGCGCCGACGUCGGUGGUUCCUGGACGGGGUCUGCGUUCCGGUCCGCGACGCCCAAUGUCGGAUUGUCUCCCGACCCGUCUUGAAACACGGACCAAGGAGUCUAACAUGUGCGCGAGUCGUAGGGUUGACUAAACCUGAAGGCGAAAUGAAAGUGAAAGGUUGCACAGAUGGUGCUUCCUCAGGGAAGAUGGCUAAGGGACCGGGGCCGUGGUUACCCGAACCCGUGAGGGGGAGGGCGCCCGUCGCCCCUGAGAGAGAAAGAGGUCGCCGGCCCGCAUUCCCGGGGCGCCUCGUCCUCAUUGCGAGGUGAGGCGCACCAAGAGCGCACACGUUGGGACCCGAAAGAUGGUGAACUAUGCCUGGCCAGGACGAAGUCAGGGGAAACCCUGAUGGAGGUCCGUAGCGAUUCUGACGUGCAAAUCGAUCGUCGGAGCUGGGUAUAGGGGCGAAAGACUAAUCGAACCAUCUAGUAGCUGGUUCCCUCCGAAGUUUCCCUCAGGAUAGCUGGUGCUCGGAGGAGAGUCUCAUACGGUAAAGCGAAUGAUUAGAGGCCUUGGGGCCGAAACGACCUCAACCUAUUCUCAAACUUUAAAUGGGUGAGACCCCCGGCUUGCUCGGGUGGUGACGAAAGUGAUGAUGAAGCCGGAGACGGAUACUGAGUGCCAAGUGGGCCAUUUUUGGUAAGCAGAACUGGCGCUGUGGGAUGAACCAAACGCCGAGUUAAGGCGCCUAAAUCGGCGCUCAUGUGAAACCAUGAAAGGCGUUGGUUGCUUAAGACAGCAGGACGGUGGCCAUGGAAGUCGGAAUCCGCUAAGGAGUGUGUAACAACUCACCUGCCGAAGCAACUAGCCCUGAAAAUGGAUGGCGCUCAAGCGUCGUGCCUAUACUCGGCCGUCAGCGGCACUGGGAGUGGCCGUCGUGGGGCCCGCGACACCCGAAAGGGUCCGUCGCACGGGUUCGCGUCUCGCUGGCGCACCCCUUCGGUGCUCGAAGAAGCCCUGACGAGUAGGAGGGUCGCGGCGGUGUGCGCAGAAGGGUUAGGCGUGAGCCUGCCUGGAGCCGCCGUCGGUGCAGAUCUUGGUGGUAGUAGCAAAUACACAAAAGAGGACCUUGUGGACUGAUGCGGGGCAGGGUUUCGUGUGAACAGUGGUUGCACACGAGUGAGUCGAUCCUAAGCCCUAUGUGAAAGUUGAUGUCGAUGCGGUGGUCAGAGACUGAGACGCCCAUGGGGCGAAAGGGAAUACGGUCAAAAUUCCGUAACCCAGCGACGGAACCGUUCCAAAAGCGGGCCCUCGUUAACGUGUGGUUCGUCCGGGUAACCGGAAAGACCCCGGAGAAGCCGGCGGGAGGUCUGGGAAGAGUUCUCUUUUCUCUGUAUGCGGCCGGGUACCCUGGAAUACUCUUGCAGUGAGAUAGGGUAUGGGCCUGCGAAGAGCACCGCAGUUGCUGCGGUGUCCAGAUUCUCCCCUCGGACCUUGAAAAUCCGGGUGAGGGCCACGGGAGCGUUCGCGCUGGUUCGUACCCAUAACCGCA